UGCGAACUGGAGGUUGGGUGCAACCUGGCACGCAGUCUCGAAGCUAACGCGUUAAGUUCGCCGCCUGGGAGUACGGUCGCAAGACUGAAACUCAAAGGAAUUGACGGGGGCCCGCACAAGCGGUGGAGUAUGUGGUUUAAUUCGAUGCAACGCGCAGAACCUUACCUGGCCUUGACAUGUCCGGAAUCCUGCCGAGAUGCGGGAGUGCCUUCGGGAAUCGGAACACAGGUGCUGCAUGGCUGUCGUCAGCUCGUGUCGUGAGAUGUUGGGUUAAGUCCCGCAACGAGCGCAACCCUUGUCCUUAGUUGCCAGCACGUGAUGGUGGGAACUCUAAGGAGACUGCCGGUGACAAACCGGAGGAAGGUGGGGGA
rnacentral:rRNA from 1 species